CCUACGGGAGGCAGCAGUAGGGAAUCUUCCACAAUGGGCGAAAGCCUGAUGGAGCAACGCCGCGUGGGUGAAGAAGGUCUUCGGAUCGUAAAACCCUGUUGUUAGAGAAGAAAGUGCGUGAGAGUAACUGUUCACGUCUCGACGGUAUCGAACCAGAAAGCCACGGCUAACUACGUGCCAGCAGCCGCGGUAAUACGUAGGUGGCAAGCGUUAUCCGGAGUGAUUGGGCGUAAAGGGAACGCAGGCGGGCUUUUAAGUCAGAUGUGAAAGCCUGCGGCUUAACCGGAGUAGUGCAUUGGAAACUGUGAGACUAGAGUGUGGGAGAGGAGAGUGGAACUCGUGGUGUAGGGGUGAAAUGCGUAGAUAUAUAGAAGAACACUCGUGGCGAAGGCGGCUCACUGG
rnacentral:rRNA from 1 species